UAAAAGUUUAAUUUUAGCUUAAAGUUUAGCUUUAAUUUAUAUAUAUAUGUAAAGUAUAAAUUUGAUAAUUUGUUAGAGCAGUAUAAAGAUUUAAAUAUUAAUUAAGGUUAGAUUUAGGUGUUGUUAUUAGUAUAAACAAAGUUUGUGCCAGCAGUUGCGGUUACACAAACUAUACAAGCUAAACAUAUUUUAGUGAGUUGAAUGUAAAGUUUAUUAAUUUAGAGUUAGAUUUUUUAGGUGAAAUUUUAAAUUUAAGUUAAAUUAAUUUUUUGAUUUUGAGGCUUAAAAAUUUUUUAAUUAAACUAGGAUUAGAUACCCUACUAUUAAAAAUUUAAUUUUAAGCUAAUAAUUAUUAGUAGCUAAGUUCUUUAAAAUUAAAAAUUUUGGCGGUAUUUUAGUCUUUUUAGAGGAACCUGUUUUUUAAUCGAUAUUCCACGAUUGGAUGAACUUGAGAUUUUAGCUUGCAUAUCGUUGAAGUUUAAAUAUUUUUUUAGAAUUUUAAUAUUUAGAAUUUUAAAUGAAAAAGAAAAUCAGAUCAAGGUGUAGUUUAUUUUUAAGUUAAAAUGGGUUACAAUAAAUUAAUUUAUAGAUUAGUAGGGUUAGGCCUAUUAUGAAAUUGGAUUUAAAAGUAAAUAUUUUAUAUUAAUAGUAUUGAUUUUGCUCUAAAAUAUGUACAUAUUGCCCGUCGCUUUCAUUUAUUAUGAAAUAAGUCGUAACAAAGUAGGCCUACCGGAAGGUGGGCCUAGAGACAA
rnacentral:ncRNA from 1 species